UCUUGGCUUCAAACUAAUCCGUGCCCAAAACACCGGAGAAAGUGCCUCUUUCAUCUGAGCCUUUCUUCUCUCUAAAGCAGCUGAGAUCUGACUUUAAAAAAAUCACGUCUCCAGCUGUGAUGAUUGAUGGGAGAGCCUCCAGAAAAAGGACUACCCAGUGGAGCUGAUGAACUACAGGAAACUGCAGUUGAGAUGCCCGAACGUCCCCAUUCAUCUCCACGGGGAGCUGACGCCCACAGAGGCUUUACAGACAUUAACUGCUUCACAGCGUGUUUGCACACGAGAAACUGAGCAAAGCAGCACUCUGAACUUGUGAGUCGCUUCCAGUGUAGGCCAGGCUUAGAAAAACACACAUGGCCUCCCCCCUCCUCAGCUUCUUCACGGGAAGAAAGGUACAAAAUGGAUUAGCUGGGCUGAAAUGCCAGCCAGGAGGGCAGAAAAAGUGCAUUGAGCAUCACAAGGAAUUGCCUUUUUAAAAGCUCCCCUCUGAGAUGUGUUUGCUCGCAUUCACGCAGGAUAAUAAACUUCAUUUGGAAACAGCUUCUCUCCUGAGGAUGCGAUGCAGUGCUCUCACAACAGCACAGCAUGGGGACGGAUGGUCAUAACUCCAGCUAAGGACCAGACCCACAAAUAGCCCACAGAGAAGAAAUUUGUACAUAAUUAGUUUUUUCUCUAAGCAACAGGAGGAGAAGAAAACCACUGAGUACUUAGUUAGAAGAAAUUAAGUGGCCUCUGUGACCUAUUUCAUAGGACAAGACCUAGCUGGCACCCUUAGCUGCAAGGGAGAGUUAUUAAAAAAAAACCUAUUUAUGUAUCCAUCCUGCAAGAGGAAAAAAGAGGUUGGAAGUGCAGGCUAGAAAACAUUUCCCAUUAAUCUCUGGAGAUGCCUGGGGCUAGUUUUUGGCCCUUGUGCUUUGUUGUUGUGCAGCAAACCCUUCAAAAGCUCGUGCCUGAUCCGACGCUGUGCCUCACUGCAGGAGGGGGACUAGCAACCUCUUGAACCAUCUCUCUCAAGCACAUGGCUAUGAUCUCAUGCUAAACUAAAAGGAGGCUAAUCUUAGCAUAAAUUUGCACUUAUCCCAUCUUUCAUAAGCAUAAAAUGAAGGUGGAACACAGAGCACUUGCAGGAAAGCAGUGUAGCAGGGAAGAUUAAAUGUAGGAACUGACAGCAGGCUUGGCAGCAUCCGCUCUGGCACCCAGCUUCCAGGCAAGGCUGGGCCCAGGAGCUGCAGGUGAAGAGGGACCCUCAGCCAGGCUGGGGGGCUGGGCAGCAAUGGGGGAACCCCUCCUGACCCCCUGCAAGGGGACCGAGCCUGCUCUCCUGGCUGCCAGGAAAUCCUUGGCUGGGUAACAUCAAAAGGAACAUUUUAACGGGCUGUGAAUGCAUCUCAAAUUAAAAUAUUUAAAGUGUUCUGUC